rnacentral:rRNA from 1 species
AUUGAACGCUGGCGGCAGGCCUAACACAUGCAAGUCGAGCGGAGCGGCGGACGGGUGAGUAAUGCCUAGGAAUCUGCCUGUUAGUGGGGGAUAACGUCCGGAAAGGGGCGCUAAUACCGCAUACUAUCAGAUGAGCCUAGGUCGGAUUAGCUAGUUGGUGGGGUAAAGGCCUACCAAGGCGACGAUCCGUAACUGGUCUGAGAGGAUGAUCAGUCACACGGGAACUGAGAAACGGUCAAGACUCCAACGGGAGGAAGCAGUGGGGAAAAUUGGACAAUGGGCGAAAGCCGGAUCCAGCCAGGCCGCGGGUGUGAAGAAGGUCUUCGGAUGGUAAAGCACUUUAAGUAGGGAGGCGUUACCAACAGAAGAAGCACCGGCUAACUUCGUGCCAGCAGCCGCGGUAAUAC